GACGAAUGCUGGCUGCGUGCUUAACACAUGCAAGUCGAACGGUGAAGGAGGGCUUGCCCUCCGGAUCAGUGGCGAACGGGUGAGUAACACGUGGGCAACCUGCCCCUCACUCUGGGAUAACGCCGGGAAACCGGCGCUAAUACCGGAUACGACCAGGCGCGACAUCUCGCCUGGGGGAAAGAAUUUCGGUGAGGGAUGGGCCCGCGGCCUAUCAGCUAGUUGGUGGGGUAACGGCCAACCAAGGCGACGCCGGGUAGCCGGCCUGAGAGGGCGACCGGCCACACUGGGACUGAGACACGGCCCAGACUCCUACGGGAGGCAGCAGUGGGGAAUAUUGCGCAAUGGGCGAAAGCCUGACGCAGCGACGCAGCGUGAGGGACGAAGGCCUUCGGGUUGUAAACCUCUUUCAGCGGGGACGAAGCGAAAGUGACGGUACCCGCAGAAGAAGCACCGGCUAACUACGUGCCAGCCGCCGCCGUAAAAC
rnacentral:rRNA from 1 species